rnacentral:lncRNA from 1 species
UUUCUCCUUCCCAUUCUCUGUUUUCUUUUCCUUUUUUUCACAAAUUAUUUUCUAAUGCAAAUUCAAAUGGAAAAUGGAAUAGGGAAAAAUGGACAUGUAUAAGAAAUCUUCUAUAAAUACCACCUUCUCCUUCGUUUCAUUUCCAGACUUUACCUACACAUUUUACAAGGCACAGGAUUUCUGGGAUUUUUCUGUAUGUUUUAAACUCUCUUUCUUUUAUUGCUUCUUCUUCUUGAUUGUUUUGUUCUCUAAUGUUGUGCUGAAAAAAGUUGGAGAAGAUAACCACCCAUUGCAGUAUCUUGAUUUUUCUUAGAAACUUAAAUAACAAAGAAUGAAUUUUCUUGUACAUUCAGUUUAUAUUAAUUCUUUUCAUUUCAUAUAGCAGCCAAAAACCAAGAAAAAACACUACGUUUUUCCAUCUGUUCUUCAUUGAAAACCAAGCUAUCUUUUCUUACACCUUAUUGGGGUUUUUUCCAUCUGUUCUUCAUUCAAAACCAAACUAUCUUUUCUUACACCUUAUUUGGGUUUUUUCAGACCUUCAUAUAACACUUUUUUCAAUUCAGCGUGUAUUGUUUUUCAUUGCAUAUUAGGUUUUUUUUUUUUUUUUGAGUUGCUUCAUUACACCCGAGUUCGAGUAAU